rnacentral:rRNA from 1 species
CCUACGGGAGGCAGCAGUGAGGAAUAUUGGACAAUGGACGAGAGUCUGAACCAGCCAAGUAGCGUGAAGGAUGACUGCCCUAUGGGUUGUAAACUUCUUUUAUAAAGGAAUAAAACGAGGCACGUGUGCCUUUUUGCAUGUACUUUAUGAAUAAGGAUCGGCUAACUCCGUGCCAGCAGCCGCGGUAAUACGGAGGAUCCGAGCGUUAUCCGGAUUUAUUGGGUUUAAAGGGAGCGUAGAUGGGUUGUUAAGUCGGUUGUGAAAGGUUGCGGCUCAACCGUAAAAUUGCAAUUGAUACUGGCAGUCUUGAGUACAGUUGAGGUAGGCGGAAUUCGUGGUGUAGCGGUGAAAUGCUUAGAUAUCACGAAGAACCCUGAUGGCGAAGGCAGCUUACUAAACUGUGACUGACAUUGAUGCUCGAAAGUGUGGGUAUCAAACAGGAUUAGAUACCCCUGUAGUC